rnacentral:rRNA from 1 species
CCUACGGGAGGCAGCAGUAGGGAAUCUUCCGCAAUGGGCGAAAGCCUGAUGGAGCAACGCCGCGUGAGUGAAGAAGGGUUUCGGCUCGUAAACUCUGUUGUGGAGAAGAACGUAUGUGAUAGUAACUGAUCAUGUAGUG